GAUGAAGAACGCAGCGAAAUGCGAUACUUGGUGUGAAUUGCAGAAUCCCGUGAACCAUCGAGUCUUUGAACGCAAGUUGCGCCCGAAGCCAUUAGGCCGAGGGCACGCCUGCCUGGGCGUCACACGUCGUUGCCCCCCCAUCUACUCCUUCGGGAUUGCGGGGGGCGGAUGAUGGCCUCCCGUGCGCCUCGCCGCGCGGUUGGCAUAAAUGCCAAGUCCUCGGCGACGCACGCCACGACAAUCGGUGGUUGCGAAACCUCGGUUGCCCGUCGUGUGCGGUCGUCGUGCAUCGAGGGCUCGAAAAAAUUGCCGGGUUCCGGCUCGGCUUUCAACGCGACCCCAGGUCAGGCGGGGUUACCCGCUGAAUUUAAGCAUAUCAAUAAGCGGAGGA
rnacentral:misc_RNA from 1 species